rnacentral:tRNA from 1 species
GUGAGUGUGGCGCAAUUGGUUAGCGCACCAGAUUGUGAUUCUGGGGGUCGUGGGUUCAAGUCCCAUCACUCACC